rnacentral:rRNA from 1 species
AUGAACACUGAGAGCAUUAUAAUGCCGCACCUGGAAAUGGAGUUCAACACAAGAGAAGGACAAGAAUUCUUCGACUUCUAUUUGAUUGUCGCCGGAUUCUCAGUUACCAGUGUUGCAGCAUCGAGAACAGCAAACAAGAAGAGGUACAAUGAAUAUAAAAGAAUCACAAUGAACUGUAACAAACAUGGCGAAACAAAAGAAGUAGAAAGAGAAAGUGUAGUACCUAUAAGGAGGACAACAGUUAUAGCAAAAUCAGAGUGCCAGGUAGUGAUGGUGAUCUCAGAAAAGCGGUGGCCACUGGAAAAUUCACUAUCAUCUCACUGUAAAAGAAACAGUCUCAAAAGAACAACUAAAAUUUACAGAAGCCAUAGGACCAUAAAUCCAUCAUCAAUGUAUUAUAAAUUAAACACCGGGAAACUAUGA